GAUGAACGCUGGCGGCGUGCCUAAUACAUGCAAGUCGAGCGAACAGACGAGGAGCUUGCUCCUCUGACGUUAGCGGCGGACGGGUGAGUAACACGUGGAUAACCUACCUAUAAGACUGGGAUAACUUCGGGAAACCGGAGCUAAUACCGGAUAAUAUAUUGAACCGCAUGGUUCAAUAGUGAAGGACGGUUUUGCUGUCACUUAUAGAUGGAUCCGCGCCGCAUUAGCUAGUUGGUAAGGUAACGGCUUACUAAGGCAACGAUGCGUAGCCGACCUGAGAGGGUGAUCGGCCACACUGGAACUGAGACACGGUCCAGACUCCUACGGGAGGCAGCAGUAGGGAAUCUUCCGCAAUGGGCGAAAGCUUGACGGAGCAACGCCGCGUGAGUGAUGAAGGUCUUCGGAUCGUAAAACUCUGUUAUUAGGGAAGAACAAAUGUGUAAGUAACUAUGCACGUCUUGACGGUACCUAAUCAGAAAGCCACGGCUAACUACGUG
rnacentral:rRNA from 1 species